rnacentral:lncRNA from 1 species
CCCUGCCCACCCUCUCUGCCUUUCCCAGGCCGCCCCUUUAGACUCUGCCUCUCAUUUUUCCUUUUAGAGAGUCACUUCCUCGAGAUGACAGUUUACUGCCCUUCCACAUUAUUUUGUCAUUUUUUUAGUAAGUGUCUGCCUCCCCUGGUAAAUUAACUUUAGAGGGAUAAGAACAAUGUAUACCAGUCCAACAAAACCAGAAGUGAUUAAAACCAUUUCCUAAAAAGUAUUUUAUUCGGCCAGAACCAAGGUUCAUAACCUUGAAUUCUUCAAAGAAGAAUUUGCAAAGAAGCCAGCUUAGCCUAUAAACUAACAAGUUCAGGUGGUUUAGAUGUAUGUCAAUGUUUUUAAGUGUUUAUUCAUUGGUUCCAUUUUUUUUUUAGCAUUUUUCCAUUUAUCCAGCUCUGUUUGUAAUGUGUGCUUUAAUUUUCAGCUAAAUGGCAAGAAUGUACACAGCCCUGCAAAGGAAGUAAUUACCUACAAUGAGGAUAUUUGAUGUAUUGGCUCUUCUUGUGAAACUUGUAAAACUACUUCUUCUGAAAGAUUUUCUCUUAAAGCAAGUUUUUAAAAUAGGGCAAAUCCAAUGAAUAGUUUAAUUGUGGCUAGUUUUAAAUACCAAUAUUUUGUACCACAUUUUUGUGUGCCUUACAAAAAAAUAUGGCCAAGCCACACUAUUCUAUGAAAAUAAGUGUGAAUCCUACCUUAUGUCUCUCUGAAUAUUGAUAACCACACAUGAUAUGUUAUUUGUGUUUCUAAAAUUUUAUCAAUAGUUUGUACUCAAGGAUUGAGCUUCACAUUUUUAGGUAUGUUUUUGUUAUAUCAUAAUUACCAUGCCUACAGCAUGCAGAAGUUCCUGGGCUAGGGAAUCAAACCUGCACCACAGCAGCAACAGUGUGGAAUCCUGAAACCCCUAGGCCACCAGAGAACUCCCUUAAGUCUCUACAUAAUACAUUGACAACAUGCAUAUUCUCCUGUGUCUUUAUAAAUUGUCCUUUUUCUCAUUUCUCAGAGAUUAUUCAGUGAGCAGCCUGGAGGGGUCUCUGUAAGAGAUGCUUAAUCAAUUAUUUUAGGCAACUGCAAUAAUGACUUCUUUGCUUAGUAUGAUAUGCUUAAUAUUUUUCCAAAAAAUAAAAACAUACAUGGAAUGAGAUAUGCCAACAACACCUUCAUAAUUUUAGGGUCUCCUUCCUAAUAAAAAGGAAAUGCUAAGUUUAAUUUUGUCAUCAUCUUAUUCUUGCUUUUAAAAGAGGUAAUGUUGGUUUUUCUGAAAAGUAAUUGUUGCAAGUGAUGAAAAAAGUAAUGUAUAUUCAUAUAAAACUAUAAUUUUGGCUUAGAAUUAUAGUUUCUGUAAUUAGAAGUCUCUUCAAACAUGGAAGGCUGUUAUUUCUUAUUUGUCCAUUACAAAUCUUUUGAUUUGAUGAUUCUGUGUUAAAUAUGUUAUUUCCUUCCCUUUUUCUUCCUCUACUCCAUUAAGUUUUUGCAUUUAAAAUAUGAUUACAGUGCUACUGCAUUAAAUGCAAAAAUUAUUUACGGAGAAGUUGUCACAGUUGUCUAUUUUCUUUUGACCUCUCAGUUUACAAGCAAAGGGAGGUUACCACUACCUACAUGACAGCUUAGAGCUUUCGAGUUAUUUGUUUGUCUGUUUGUUUAUUUGCUUGCUUGUUUAGGGCCUCACAUGCAGCAAAUGGAAGUUCCCGGGCUAGGGGUCGAAUCCGAGCUGGAACUACCAGCCUGCACCACAGCAACAGCAAUGUGGGAUCCAAGCCGCAUCUGCGACCUGCACUGUAGCUUAUGGCAACACUGGAUCCUGAACCCACUGACCAGGGCCAGGGAUCGAACCCUCAUCCUCAUGGAUACUAGUCAGGUUUGUUACUGCUGAGCCAGAAGGAGAACUACUCAAGUUAUUUCUGACUCGACUCUUUAUUGGUAUCUUUGCUCCAUAUAAAUUGAGUUAGUGUUUUGCCAAAGAUCUCUGUUCUUUUCUGUCUCUCUGCCAUUGCUCAAUCUAACUCUUCCAUAGGAUGUGCUUUUCAGCUUUGUGUCCAUUUAAAUCCCAUCAACGUCAGUUCCCUUAACCACGUGAGUGGUGACUUUUCUUGAUACUUGUGCCCAGCGGUGUCCUAAUAACUAAUUAUUCACAGAGAUUUUAAUGGCUUAGUUGUAGGGACAUUCCCUGGAUCAUUAGAACUCACUGUGUGUAUCAAUCAUCAGUGAAGUUAAACAGCAGAAAUUCAAGCUAGCCUGUGUCUUCAUAUUAAAUCCAUAUACUACUUUUUUCUGUGUUUCAUAAAGAUGAAUACAACAGACAUGCUUGGCCGACAUAUAGAGGGUAGAAUUGCCUUGAUGAAAUACUAGUUGCUUCUCUGGAUACUUCAUAUUUUUCUAAGCGUAAGAAAGUUUGAGUAGGUGUAGUUUGAAAUGUUUAAGUGCUUUUAAUUGUGCAACCAUUCUUUAAACUAUACCUAGAAGUUUUACUGUCAAAGUAUUAUUUUAGAUAAAGCACAGCCAAUAAGAGAAAUUAAAAUUUAUAAAACUUAAUCUCUCCUCCUGUAGGAUUUUGUGGUCCCCUUAAAAAGCAAGGGGAUAUUUUCAAAGCAAUUAUCAUUUCUAAUUUUUAACACAAAAAGAGCUGUCAGAUUCUAUGCCUUAAUUACUUCAAUUUGAGAGUAAUUUAUUAUAUUGUUACAAUGUUGACAGGCUCAAAUUCCCUGAAAUAAAUGAUUAAAAUAAGUCUAGUGUAAGACAGAAAAUUUUAUACUUUUUGAUAUUCCAGUUCUGCUAAAAAAAAUGAGGAUUUUUUUGUGAGAAAAGUUAAGAAAUAGAAAACUAUUAAAAUGGGGUAUUACAUUUGCAUAUAUUGUUUUGCAGUAAAUAUUUAACAGAUGUUAACUACAUAAAGAGCUUUGUUAAUUUGCCUUGGAAUUUUGGUAAGAUAAGGCAGCAAAAAUCAGAAAUAUUGAACAUUAUAAAAUUAAAUUUAGUAAAAUGCCACUCAACAUGCAGUUGUAUUUUCUUUUUAGAAUGAGUUAUUGAGUGGUUCAAAAAAGAAGCACCAUGGAGUUCCCUUUGUGGGCUCAGUGGUAAUGAACCAGACUAGUGUCUAUAAGGAUGUGAGUUCCAUCCCUGGUCCCACUCAGUUGCUUAAGGAUCCGGCAUUGCUGUGAGCUGUGGUAUAGGUCACAGACGCAGCUGGGAUCCCGUGUUGCUAUGGCUAUGGCACAGCAGCUGCAUCUCUGAUUCAACCUCUAGCCUGGGAACUUCCGUAUGCCUCAGGUGCAGCC